rnacentral:piRNA from 1 species
UGACAUGCCCUUCGUGUUUGACCUUGGAUU